rnacentral:rRNA from 1 species
GAUGAACGCUAGCGGCAGGCCUAAUACAUGCAAGUCGAACGGGAUUCAGAUCCAUGCUUGCGUUGGUCUUGUGAGACUGGCGCGUGGGUCCGUUACGCCUUAGCAUCCUACCCUUGUUAGGGUCAUAGCCCGGCGAAAAUCCGAUCAAUACCUCAUGACAUCAUUUUGUGUCAUCUUUCAAUGUUCAAAGAUUUAUCGUACACGUAUGGGCUCGCGUGACAUUAGCUCGAUGGUGAGGUAACGGCUUACCAAGGCUGCGAUGUCUAGGGGAUAUGAGAGGAGAACCCCCCACACUGGUACUGAGACACGGACCAGACUCCUACGGGAGGCAGCAGUAAGGAAUAUUGGUCAAUGGACGGAAGUCUGAACCAGCCAUGCCGCGUGCAGGAGGACGGCCCUAUGGGUUGUAAACUGCUUUUAUACGGGAACAAACGUAGGUACGGGUACCGGUCUGAAUGUACCGUAAGAAUAAGGAUCGGCUAACUCCGUG